rnacentral:rRNA from 1 species
UACGAAGGGUGCAAGCGUUACUCGGAAUUACUGGGCGUAAAGCGUGCGCAGGCGGUUCUCCAAGUCAGUGGUGAAAGCCCGGAGCUCAACUCCGGAAUUGCCAUUGAAACUGUUGAACUCGAGGACGAGAGAGGUGAGUGGAAUUCCCAGUGUAGAGGUGAAAUUCGUAGAUAUUGGGAAGAACACCGGUGGCGAAGGCGGCUCACUGGCUCGUUUCUGACGCUCAGGCGCGACAGCGUGGGGAUCAAACAGG